GAUGAACGCUGGCGGCGUGCCUAAUACAUGCAAGUCGAGCGAACAGACGAGGAGCUUGCUCCUCUGACGUUAGCGGCGGACGGGUGAGUAACACGUGGAUAACCUACCUAUAAGACUGGGAUAACUUCGGGAAACCGGAGCUAAUACCGGAUAAUAUAUUGAACCGCAUGGUUCAAUAGUGAAAGACGGUUUUGCUGUCACUUCUAGAUGGAUCCGCGCCGCAUUAGCUAGUUGGUAAGGUAACGGCUUACCAAGGCAACGAUGCGUAGCCGACCUGAGAGGGUGGUCGGCCACACUGGAACUGAGACACGGUCCAGACUCCUACGGGACGCAGCAGUAGGGAAUCUUCCGCAAUGGGCGAAGGCCUGACGGAGCAACGCCGCGUGAGUGAUGAAGGUCUUCGGAUCGUAAAACUCUGUUAUUAGGGAAGAACAAAUGUGUAAGUAACUAUGCACGUCUUGACGGUACCUAAUCAGAAAGCCACGGCUAACUACGUG
rnacentral:rRNA from 1 species